GUCUCUACGUCCAUAAUAUUUAAGCAGUGUCUCUCUGUGCGCCGACAGGAGACUCACAAGAGCACAAGAUGGCGGCGAGUGAAGGGACGGCUGACGAUUCACUCUACCCUAUUGCUGUCCUGAUAGACGAACUCAGGAACGAAGAUGUGCAGCUACGACUUAACUCCAUCAAGAAGCUGAGCACCAUCUCCCUGGCGCUGGGCGUAGAGAGGACCCGCAGCGAACUGAUCCCCUUCCUCACCGACACCAUUUAUGAUGAGGAUGAGGUGCUCCUGGCCCUCGCUGAGCAGCUGGGUGCCUUCACUCCACUGGUGGGCGGCCCAGAGUAUGUCCACUGCCUCCUGCCACCCUUGGAGUCCCUGGCCACAGUGGAGGAAACAGUGGUGCGUGACAAGGCUGUGGAGUCCCUGAGGAAGGUGUGUGAGGAGCACAGUCCCGAACACCUGGAGACUCACUUCUUACCUCUCGUCAAACGGCUGGCCGUGGGUGACUGGUUCACCUCAAGGACAUCUGCCUGUGGGCUGUUUUCAGUGGCCUAUCCUAGAUUAUCUGUGGCAACAAAAGCUGAGUUGCGGUCACACUUCCGGUCGCUGUGCCAGGAUGACACUCCCAUGGUGCGCCGUGCAGCUGCUGGCAAGCUGGGGGAGUUUGCCAAGGUGGUGGAAGUGGAGUACUUGAAGACCGACCUUAUCCCGAUGUUUGUCACGCUGGCCCAAGAUGAGCAGACUUACCAACACCACGUCUUCUCACAGGACUCAGUGAGGCUGCUGGCUGUGGAGGCGUGUGUGAGCAUGGCCGGGCUGCUUCCCCAGGAAGACACAGAGCUGCUAGUGAUGCCCACACUGAGACAAGCAGCUGAAGACAAGUCUUGGAGAGUGAGGUACAUGGUGGCAGACAGAUUCAUUGACUUGCAAAAGGCAGUGGGACCUGAUAUCACCAAGAACGAUCUGGUGUCUGCCUUCCAGUCCCUGCUCAAAGAUGUAGAGGCUGAGGUAAGGGCAGCAGCAGCAGGCAAAGUGAGGGACUUCUGCCAGAAUGUUGACCCCAGUGUACAGGAAGCUGUGAUUAUGAACAAUGUACUGCCGUGUGUCAAGGAGCUGGUGAGCGAUGGUAACCAGCAUGUAAAGUCUGCCUUGGCCGGUGUCAUCAUGGGUUUGUCACCAAUCCUGGGCAAGGACAACACAGUCACACACCUACUGCCGCUGUUCCUGUCACAACUCAAAGACGAGUGUCCCGAAGUGAGACUCAACAUUAUCUCCAACCUGGACUGUGUUAAUGAAGUGAUUGGUAUCCAGCAGCUUUCCCAGUCCCUGCUGCCCGCCAUUGUGGAGUUGGCAGAGGACAGCAAGUGGAGAGUGCGUCUGGCCAUCAUUGAAUACAUGCCUCUCUUGGCUGGCCAGCUGGGUGUUGACUUCUUCAAUCAGUCACUAUCCAAACUUUGCAUGACCUGGCUGGUAGAUCAUGUGUACGCCAUCAGGGAGGCUGCCACAAACAACCUCCGUAAACUGGUUGAGAAGUUCGGCCCUGAGUGGGCGGCCCAGAAUGUCCUGCCAAAGAUCAAUGCAAUGUCUCGGGAUGGGAAUUACCUCCACCGCAUGACCUGCCUGGCUUGUAUCAAUGUGGUUGGGGAGGUGUGUGGCCGAGAACUGACCACCAAGACGCUGCUGCCCACUGUGCUGGCCAUGGCUAAUGAUAAUGUACCCAAUGUGAGGUUCAAUGUAGCUAAAACCUUACAGAUUAUUGGCCCACACAUAGAUAAAGAGUCUCUACACACACAAGUGAAGGGCGUAUUGGACAGACUUAAUGAUGAUUCUGACACAGAUGUGAAAUACUUUGCUUCUGAGGCACUGAUAGAACAUGGACUUGCCUAAAUUCGAGGACCAAAAAGUUUUUCAAAAUUUUCUGGCCCAUGGGAAAAUUUUGACUGAAGACGGAUAUUUUGGCCAUGACUCCCCUAUUUGCUGCCCCCUGAGUCUGACCUGACCCAACCAGCCUGUCAGGUCAUCAUCGUCACUAAACACAGGCCAAGGUCACCGCCGCCCUAGCUUAUCAUCAUCAUUAUUAUUAUUGUUAUUGUUUCCCAUAUAUAGACCAAUUUCGUAGAUGACUGCAUGUUUAUGAUGGCUAUUUAUUUAUUUUCUAUAAUAUUAGGGAGUCAAUUUUAUUACUAUUAUUAUUGUUAUUAUUAUUAUUAUUAUUAUUUUUAUUAUUAUUUAUUUAUUUUUUCAAUAUAUUUUAAUAUUUUUAUGUAUUAGAAAGAUUAUUCCAUGAAUUAGUUUUCUUUUAUGAGUAUAUGUUUUCCAUUCCUUAAUGAGAGAGAAAGAGUAUGAGAGAGAGAGAGAGAGAGAGAGUAUGAGAGAGAGAGAGAGAGAGAGAGAGAGAAGUGCACUGACACUAGAACAUACCUAGUUGUAAUCUUUAAUACAUGUGUAGGCUAAUAAUGUAGGGUAUAAAAUGUCAGCAAAUA
rnacentral:misc_RNA from 1 species